AAUUUGUGGAAAUUAUUUCUCUCUUUACUAUCUAACAUAUAAGCUAUUUAUGAUAUGUUCAAGUUUAGAACUUUCCAACAUUUUUUGGUUUUCAUGAUAUUACACUGUGAAGUAGGUAUAUCUGCAUUCUUCAAUGAUUUUAGUUAAAGCUAGUAUGAAAUUGACACUCCAAUAAGCUUUCAGAACAAGGUAAUCUCAAAUUCUCAUAGUUUAGUGAUCAAUAGUAGAGAUGAAAUGAUCCAUCGAAUAUUGAACUUAACCUUUCUGUUUGCAUUAUCUGAGAUGGGAAUUGGUUUACUCUGUUUAAUUAUCUCCUUUGACAUUGACAAAUUCCACUUCUUUUGCACCUCCAAUGCUCCCACAUAGGGUAGAUUUCAUGUUGUUAUCGAUAAUGAUGUUAAUCACCAUCUUGAUUUAUCCCCCUUGCACAAAGCUACGGGAAUUACUUCUCCGUCAUCUGGUAAGCAUAAAACCAACCUUAAACUUUUUUAUUGAGUAAUAAUUAUAUCUUUUGCAUGGCCUUGACAAAGUUUUCUUGAUAACUUUGCUAUAGUUAAGCCUAAAGAGUUUAUUGAACGUACAAAUGGAUUUACCGUUAUCUAUACAAGAGAAGACCCAUGUGAUCCUCAGGAACUAUCAGAAUUCCCUGAUAUAAGACUCUGGUUUGUG
rnacentral:misc_RNA from 1 species